rnacentral:tRNA from 1 species
GCCGCCGUAGACGAAUGGGAAAGUCGCCACUCCUUCAAAGUGGACAUGUGCGGGUUCGAGUCCCGUCGGCGGUA